AAAAAAAAAACGAGAUUAUGUAGUUUCUCAUAUCAUUGCAGCAUACUAAUUUACAUAAUAUUUACAAUUAUUCUCGCAAAAAUAAAGUUCUAUCUGCUGAUAUUGUUAAAAUACGUAACAAGGAAAUGUUUCUUUAAUCAUUUUUGUCUUUUAAUGAUAGAUAAUAAUUAAAAUUCUCGAUUGUUUCAACACUAGCAUCUUUAUCUACUAGUAAACAAAAUAAAGAAAAAUAGCGUAUAUAUAACCGCGUAAUCGCGCUUGAAUGAUUCAACCCUAGAAAAUACAAUGUCUUAUCACUGACGCGACGAUGUCAAAGUCAAAAAUACGGAUAGUUAAACCGUCCUCGUGGAAAUUCUUUCGUAACAACGAAAUAAGUGAAAUAUGUGCGACGUCCUUAACCCAGUAAUAUACUCCCGUCGCUUGGCGUCAUGCAAAGACAGGCAGCUUCUUCUCGUUCUUCUCGUUACACUAAUUUUAAUCUUCCCGUGCCCCGCCUGUGCUUAAGACGCUGGAGAUGGCGGAAGGCGGUGACGUGUUCUAAUAUUACGUUUCUCACGUUUCUUUGACAUUCGCUCGACUUUCUGCUAAGGGUUUGAAUUACAUCUAAUGAUAGCUCAUCUAUAUAAUUAAGCGGGGGCCAUUCUGUCCGUCGAACGUGGUAGGUGUACGCGUUCGCGAAAACGAUUUCAAUCGGUUUCAGCGCUGAGAACAACGACACGCUUUGUUACGAGACGAGCCGGGGCUCAAGGUAAUUGAAUUACUUUGCAUUCAGUUAUUAAGCGAGGGAGGGAAACAAAAUGAGACGAUAAAAUUUUAUCUUUCUGGGAAGAGAAAACAAGUUUACGCGCCGUCAGCUGACGUAAUUGUUCGCGGGUAACUGUGCAUCGAUAAACAUAAUAGAAUUGCAUCUUUCUGUAGGAUGCAAUCGCGUAAUUAAGCAGUCGCUUUCCGUUGAUUAAUGAUCUGGCUGGGCCAGAUAGGGGAAAUCCUGUGCAGAUCUCUGCCGGCUCUUCGAGAAAUUUCCUAUUAAAGUAACGCCGCCGAGUCGCUACCGCCGCGUCGGAGACUCGCAAAGAAAUGUUAUCGUGACUCAUGUAAGUUGCACUGCACUUUAAUUCAUGAUUAGAAAAUAACGCCGCAGCGUGCACGCCGGGAAAUGAAUUGUACAUUUAUUCGUAUCAUCGUAUCCUGUCGUGUACUAUUAUUUAUUCGUUGUAAGUAUUAUCUGCCUUUAUUUGUUGAAUUUAAUGUCACAGGAAAAGAUGAAGCGUUAAAUUAUCACUAUACGUGCAUAAAUACUUAACAAAUUACCAGGAAGUAAAACACAAUUAUUACACAGGAAAUAAAUGGAUCUAAUUUAAAUAAUUUUUUAUAUUGCGCGUCUUAACACUUUUAAAUCAAUCGUGAGAAGAAUUACAUUUUUUUUAAUGAUUUUUGUUUUAACAUUUGAAAAUUAUUUGACAUUUCGGCGCGCAAGAGUGGAGAGCUCGCUCGUUACUCAAGGGGAGCCGCGGGAGAGAAAGUUUGAUUUCACGUUAUACACUCUCAGCGAGCAGAAGUAUAAUUAAUAUUAUGAAACCAAUGCCGUAAACAUCGACGCGUUCCGCAAUGUCAAACGUGUCCCAGCCACAAUAAGUUUCACGCUUAACACUCGUGAACGCCAGCGAAACCUCGGUUUUUUUUUCUCUCUUUUAGAAACGGUUCGCGAACGUGAAAAUCGCCGAAGAAGUCAGUAUUAUGGCUCUCAAGGUAUCGAGCUAUUAAUAAUUAGAGCAUGAAAGAAAUGUUAUGUAAUGUACGAGGCUAAGAAUUGUAAUCGUGUAUUGUAAAAAGUAUAUUUCGAAUUGUUAUCGAAAAGGAUGUGUCACCACACUAAAUCUAAUGAAUACAAAUUUAAAAAAAAAUUAACUUCGUACAUCGACAGUAUCGUUUCAAAUGCGAUGAAUAAAAUUUCGUGAGUAUCAACGUUUCAUAAAUAAUCAUCAAUCACGAAUGAAGAAAUAGUUGCUGGUGCGUCCGCGUUGUUGCUGCUGCUGCUGCUGCUGCUGUUAGCGAGCACACGACUUGAAGUUCAGGGUCAAUCGCUGGCCGACCGGCUGCAUUACGUCCACGCUUACGCUUACGUUCGUCUUUCUUCUUCUAUUUGGGCCUUGAAGACUUGCCGGGCGGGGUCUCGUGCCGUUCGUGCUAAGUGGGGGCAAGGCCCCGUGCCGCCGGCGCCGCUAGUUGCAGAAACUCUGGCCCACUUGCUGCUCCUCGGCACGGUGGGGGGACGAUUACCAGUUUUACUAUCCAGGAUGCCUCGCUUUGUCGGUGCUGCACUCUCCAGCAAACCCGUUCGCCGAUCAGCGGCAUUUCGGUGCAUCGCGUCGGUAAACGGCUAUCACGUUCUGUUUUGCCGCGACUGUAAGUCCGUCGGACGCGCACUUGGCGGUGGAUCCAAAAAAUUGCGGGCAACAAUAUUCAAAAUGGUUUUUACGUCAACAUCGAAUUUUUUCAAAUCAAUAUACGAGAAUCUUAGGUACAGGCGUUUUAGAAAUUGUUCACAUAUAUUAAGAUAUUUAUUUCCUUCGCAAGAAACUCAUUUUUUGUACAAUAUAAAACUGACUUUACAAUACGAAAUUAAUAUAAGAACGUGCUCGUCCUAAUGAACGUCGAUAUCACAACUUUCACUAUUACGUAAAUCACAGUUUUUAUCCGAAAUUUAUAUUCAGUGGGCAUUUGGAUCGUUGGUUGAAUCGGAGAUGAAAACAAACGUAUAAAUUUUUCCAAUACAUAUUCAUGACCUGCUGGCUAUAAAUUUAAAUUUGUAAAAUGGUAUUGAUACGUAAUUCAAUUUCUGUGACGUACCAAGAGUCAUGCGAUGUCUCGCGCGGAAAGAUCUGAAGUAAAGCGAUCUGGUGCAGCGAUUAAGCGUAACAAAAACGAGGAGACGACGCAGUGGGAACUGGUGCAACCGGAGUUCACGAGCCAGAGCUAAGAUAAGAAUAAGAGAGGAGAAAGUUUCUGGAAUUCGUAAAUUUCGUUACGCGAACUCCGUGAACGUCGCUCCUCGCUUAUCGCCUCGGCAUACAAAUACAUACGCUCCGCGUCGCAUUCCACGUGUGCGUGAACCUGCGCACGUCUACGUGCAAGCACUUUCGUCGUUACACGAGUUACACUCGCGCAUACACGCAGGAGGCAACGAUGCGCAGUGCCAUAACGCUUACAUACACACGGGCAUUAUAAUCUUCUAUCCGGAUGGCGGACGUUACGAUCUACCAUUGAAUCGAACAAUGGCGAAACUGGGUUACGCAAAUGUCGAGGCUGGAAAUUAAAGCGCGGAGAUAGAGAGAGAAGAAGAGGGAGACACUCGCACACUGUCGUAAAAAGAUUCAACUCCCGUUUGGAAAACCGAGUCUUAAUUAAAGGAAUCGUCCUCGUUGGUAGUUUGACACUCAUCACACAAAGCAUGGAAAGCUAAAGAAAAGAUUUUUUUUCAAUUACCUCCCUAAGUAUUAUCCUUUGUAUGUGAGUCAAAUUGAAACAGAAGGAGACUGGAGACAACUCUGUCAAUUGCAUCGUCAACACUGACAUUAAAAUGUAUAUCGUCUAUUGAUUUCUUACUUCUUGCAUAGAUAACUAGGAAACAGAAUAAUCAAAUGCAUCAACAACAUUCCAUGAGUCGUAGAACAUAGUCCACUUUUAUCGACCUCGACGAUUAAACAGUAAUGGAAGAAAGCUGUAAGUAGGAGUUAGAAAAUAUCUUCUCGGAAGGAAAUAUUAAAAGCAUCAAAUGAAAUUCUCCCAAUAAAUUGGCACAUUUGACUGCUGUAUGGCUGCUUCAUUCACCUGACACAAUUUCCUGUUUUCUCGAUUAUGACCGUUUGCAAUUGCAGUAAUUGAGCUGUUUGGUAUUUAUCGCGAAGAGAACAGAUCACGGCGGAUUGGGGCGAGGCUGCUGAAACCGUCCGAGUUGAACCGAGCUCUACAACGUGGAUUGAGCAACGCACGGAGAACUCGUUACGAGACCUGUAAUGGGGUCCAGGCGUUUCCGCUCUAUUUUUUGUGGGCCCAAUUACGUUCCGCCGGGCCUGAAUAGUCCGUGUUUCGCGGUCUCAUCGAAACACCUCCUCUCGCGUACCGUAAAACCAUGCACGCACGUCACGGCUUUGGGAAGCACUCGCUCGGAACACCAUAGAAAAUCUUUGCGGGGAUGCGACGCGUUCCCGCAAAAUAUCCAGAGAACCGAGGCCAGAAUUCCAUCGAACGCGUCAUGGACAUUGAUGGCCUUUUUAAAAGAACACCGCGCCCGUUUGAUGGCCGUUUUAUAACUUCUAAGAAAUAAUCGGAAGCUAUAAAAGUGUUUUUUCUUUAAAUUGAGAAACGUAGUGGAUCGACAGACUGGUUUAGUCGUCUGUUGAAACAUUUUUCUACAGAACAAGAAUAAUCGUUGCUAACAGUUUGAGAUUGAAUCAGUCACGAAAUAAUUGAUAAGACAAUUUAAAAAAAUAGUUAGGCAACUGUUUUGGAUAAAAAUAAAGAGUCAUUUUUUUAUGUCGGUUAGAAACAGCUUCACGGCUCGUUAAUUCUUGAUCGAUUAAACUGCGUUUAGAUUUCAUGUUUUAGAAACGAAAACGCGAGCGGAGGGCAGGGUUAUGACACCCCGUGAAACCUGUGACUCACACCUUUCCCCGAUUUCGAAUCACUAUUUUCCAACUGGUCUCUCACGCUCUCCCUCUUGCGCAUCGCUCCGUCGACUGUGACGUACUCUCUCCGUUACUUCUCUCUCCUUCCCUCCUCUGCCCCUUCUAAUUUUCUCCAUCUCUCUUGGUUGCCCUCUUGCUUUUCAACCGGUGUUACGAAAAUCGCCGGUGUACCUUUCGGCAUUGCGAAAAACGAUAAUACGCGAGAAAUGAACGGAGAACCAAAAUAAGCUGGUAUCCCUAUCGUUUCUAAAAACGCACAGAAUCAACAAACUAAGAGGACUGUCAUUUUUUCAAGCUGUCUUAUGUCAUAAAUUCUUCGAACGUAUUUAUUCUACUCGAAAUUGUAUGAGCAAGCCGUACAGCCUGCGUGCUUUCGAAAUACUUUCACGCUCGAGAAGAGCAAUGAUGUGGGGACACGUUUCUGGAUCGCAAGUGCGAUAAGUGCAUUGCGCCACGAGGCUUAUUAUCCUAUCCACUUGUCCGUGGAAGCUAAGUAUUAAAAGGUGGAAUCGGCCGGGCAUCGAUAAAUGCAAACAGGCGUUCACGCACUUAGCAUUCUUCUCAAAAUUAUCUCCAAGCUGCUUUUACUUAUCGUCACCUCUCAGAAAUCCCCUAUUUCAUUAUAUUCAAACCCUUUCGCCUUUGAUCCUUAAAGAAAUUCUUGAAAAAAACAAAUGCUGACUCUUUGCGAAUAUGGAUAGAAUCGUGCAAAAAUACAAGUCGAAUAAAGAAUUUAUGAAGUGAAUCCAUCAUUUUAUCAGAGAUGAAGCUCUGAUUGUCGGAAUUGACUAUUUGAUGCGAAGAAGGGUCGGAGCUUAAGAAAAUCCGAUAAAUGAAGAAUCGCAUGCGAAAAACAGCAGCGAUCAGGGCAGCGGGAAGGACUCGUUGCGACGUGGUGGAAGGACAGAAUUCCCUCGGCCUAUCGGCGGUCGUCGAGUCACCGGAUACAUUUCAUUCAAGGCCAGAAAGUAAAAAGCCUUUUCAGCUGCACUUACGUACCAACCUAGCCAACUCUAACUGGUACGUACGCGGUCGCACGCACUCUUCCACCAGGUAAGCGCUUACGUACGGACGACGCGCGUACGUGACACACGUCCGAUGGCCUUGUAUGUGUACGCGCGGAGGCGUUUCUCUCUCUCUCUCUCUCUCUCUCUCUCUCUCUCCUCUCUCUCUUGCCUCUCUCACCGCUCUCUCCUCGUCACUCUUUUUGUCUCUCGUUCCUCGAAGCGAAGAGUCCGCGGAGCGGUUAGUUACAUGAUCCAUUCAUUAUAUAAGAACAAUCGCCUCCUCUAAUAGACGCUCCAUCAUUGUGGAUCUGAAGGGCAUGUUUGUUACGCGCGCACGCGCCUCCUCUUGGGGCAAUCGGAUGCGUUUCACGAUUUCGUAGUGUUCGCCAGAAGUGCAAGAAAAACGUAAUUCCGUCGACCGUGAUAAUUUGCGAACACAAAUUUCUCGAGAUUCAUUACUUAUCUAAUCAGAUUCCAUAGUUUAUGUCACGUUUAAACGAAGAACAUAUAUGCCGUUCUAUGCAGUGUAACCUUCAUUCAAUACGCCUUUCGCAAUUUACUUAUAUAGUAAAAUAAAAACUCGAUAAUUGACUCAACUUAUAAUUAAAUGUAGUAUUCAAUGGAACAGUCUUUUUUCCAGGAUACUCGCGUGAUAAACAUGAUGUCAGAAGCAGUAUUGAGCGCCGGUCACUUUUGAGCAGUUGCAUAACCAGAAGGACGUCCGAGAGCUCGGCGCGAUGCGACGCGACGUGGAGCAGCAGGAGCACGUGGAAACGCGGAAACACUUUGCCACAGCCGGGAGGAACGGUUAGAAAACGGAAGCGAUUGCUCGCGCAACGAUCGUCACGCAUCGAAUAGGAGCAGUCAGCGUUAGCGGUGAAGUUGAGGAAAACACGGUGCGCCGGCCGAUCGCGGCGUGUGGCGAUUUCGAUCCGUUCAAUGUCAAAGCCUGGCAUCAUCGUAUCGGCUAGGCUGGCUGGCUGCUGCCGCUGGUACAUAGAUACAUACCGAGCGCAUACCUACUUACGUACAUACCUUUUACUGCGCAUCGGCCGGCAGAUGCAGCGUGCAUGCAUCUAACUCGCGCGGGUUAGUCAUCGGCUGGCUGGAGAUCCGAUCGGCGCAUACAGCCGCGAUUGAGGACUAUUAAACGGAUGACCUUUCACUACCUAGAAGAUCUACAUACACCUACGUAUCGGAGCAUACGCGGCCGCGAGAUACUCGCGUGCAUUCGUGUUACGCAAUCACGAUCACUCUUCUCUCCCUCUUCCUCUCUUCACCGUUAAUUCUCUCCCCGCCUCUCUCUGUAUAUUUCUCUUUCUCUCUUCAUCCAUCUCCCUCGCCCUCGCUACUAUCCAGAGCAGGCACACGUACGCAUGCCGCUUCAGCGUUUUGGAGCCGAAGGGCAAAUCUGCCUAUGCUUCAGUUUAACGUUGGAGAAGCUAAUUGAAAUGAAUCAUUACUGCUAGAGUCAAUGUUGGUAAGAUGAUUAAGAUAUAUCUAUUUGCACGAAAGGAACAUGCAACUCGGAUGUAAAAACUGAAUGAAGAAACAGUGCGAAAAGUACCAACGCCUGUUCGUAAAUUUCACGGAAAGUCACGAGGAUCACAAAAACGGUUUCAGAGUACAUUUGCUAAAAAUUUCACGAAGAUGAAUCAGUCAUUUCGGUCACAUGAUGAUCAUGUCGGUGCUAACUAAUUCGAUAUGAAUUCAAAUAUCUUUUUUAUGCAACCAGGAAAAAGUUGCAGUUAUGUCGUAGAGAUGUUCUUUAUAUAAAUCCUACGUCCUAGGUACUAAUUUGUAUUGCAAAUGUAGACUGUAAUUUUUAAAGAGCGUUGUUAUUUAUUAUUUUCCUCGAUAUUUUUUACUCGUUUCAACUCGAAAGGAAUAGUGUAUUACAAAUCUCAUGACCAGUCACAAUGUGUUAAAUGAGUAAACUCCUCAAUCCGUCACUGUGUUAAUCUAUCUUCACCUAUCUUUUGGGAAACAUUAAUCAUGUUAAGAACGAAGUUCUGUUAUUCUUUGUUUCGGUUUGACAAGAAUCCAAAAAUAUCAAAAUAACACGAAUGCAUUUAUCAAAGCUUUUACUUGUCUACUGAAAUAAAUAAAGGUCACGAUAAAUUUUAUUUAAAAAAACUCCGAACUAAGAAAAAUCUAAAGUUUUCCAACGUAGUUGACAUUAAAAUACCAUCACUGCAAUUACGCAUUAUUGUAACAUCACGUAUCGACGGUGCAUGUUACAUAGUUAGUGGAAUGGAAUCCUACAAGAAUGCAAUCAGAUGCAGUGGCACGCGUAUAUUUCUUUUCAGUUAGUUCAAGUAGCGCAGUCUUUUUAUUUGAUCGCAUUUACCACACUACCUUGUAAUCGCCUUGCAGGAAAAUUUUAAUAAAGCCAAGAUCGCUGCUUUUGGCUCGGCCUUGCUGCGGCGCAUAAAUGAGUCAGGCGGAAACGAGAAACGUCAAGUGAUGACCAACGUUUUGCGAGAAGUAGACUCCUGCUCUCUAUGCAAUUUCAUACUCGCCUCGCCUUGAGAUGAUCACGCUUUCUUGAAAUAGAUCGGGCCAACCGCAACAAUUGCCUAACGAUGCGUUAGACUCGAAUAAUCCUUAAAGCGAGCUACCUUUCUUUGUAAAUCUGAUUCGAUAGCACGGCUACCAGUAUUGAGCAUAACUACACAAGUAAAUUAAAUUUACUUUUACGCAUGUUCGAGAGAAAUUUACGCUCUUCGUGUUAACAGCAGAUCUUCUAGAAAAAUAGUUUCGUUUCGAUAAUUAUUAUUGCGUAACACGCGUUGCAUGAAUUCACUACGUCUUUCUUUCAUUAGCUCGUCCAUCGCAGCCCAUACAUUCUUUUUUCGCUUGACGUCAAUGCAAAGAUACAAAUGAUAUACUUUCAUAAAAGUAAAGCAGUAGGUAUUAUUCAAGUGAUACCAUUCUCGCGCGCACACAACCAUGCCCGCGGACGUUCUUUAAUCGCGCCGAUACUUUCAUCGGCGCGACUGCAUAUGUACUUAUGCACGU